rnacentral:snRNA from 1 species
GUGCUCGCUUCAGCAGCACAUACACUAAAA